GUCUUGAAUAUAAUCAUGGCCAAACCAUAUGAAUUUAACUGGCAGAAGGAAGUUCCUUCCUUUUUGCAAGAAGGAGCAGUAUUUGACAGAUACGAAGAGGAAUCCUUUGUGUUUGAACCCAACUGCCUCUUCAAAGUGGAUGAGUUUGGCUUCUUUCUGACAUGGAAAAGUGAAGGCAAGGAAGGACAGGUGCUAGAAUGCUCCCUCAUCAACAGUAUUCGGUCGGGAGCCAUACCAAAGGAUCCCAAAAUCUUGGCUGCUCUUGAAGCUGUUGGAAAAUCAGAAAAUGAUCUGGAAGGGCGGAUAGUUUGUGUCUGCAGUGGCACAGAUCUAGUGAACAUUAGUUUUACCUACAUGGUGGCUGAAAAUCCAGAAGUAACUAAGCAAUGGGUAGAAGGCCUGAGAUCAAUCAUACACAACUUCAGGGCCAACAACGUCAGUCCAAUGACAUGCCUCAAGAAACACUGGAUGAAAUUGGCAUUUAUGACCAACACAAAUGGUAAAAUUCCAGUUAGGAGUAUUACUAGAACAUUUGCAUCGGGGAAAACAGAAAAGGUGAUCUUUCAAGCACUCAAGGAGUUAGGUCUUCCCAGUGGAAAGAAUGAUGAAAUUGAGCCCGCGGCAUUUUCUUAUGAAAAGUUCUAUGAACUGACACAAAAGAUUUGUCCUCGGACAGAUAUAGAAGAUCUUUUCAAAAAAAUCAAUGGAGACAAAACUGAUUAUUUAACGGUAGACCAAUUAGUGAGCUUUCUAAAUGAACAUCAACGAGAUCCUCGAUUGAAUGAAAUUUUAUUUCCAUUUUAUGAUGCCAGAAGGGCAAUGCAGAUCAUUGAGAUGUAUGAACCUGAUGAAGAUUUGAAGAAAAAAGGCCUUAUAUCAAGUGAUGGGUUUUGCAGAUAUCUGAUGUCAGAUGAAAACGCCCCAGUCUUCCUAGAUCGUUUAGAACUUUACCAAGAAAUGGACCAUCCUCUGGCUCACUACUUCAUCAGUUCUUCCCAUAACACUUAUCUCACUGGCAGACAGUUCGGCGGGAAGUCUUCGGUAGAAAUGUACAGACAGGUUCUCCUGGCUGGUUGCAGAUGUGUUGAACUUGACUGCUGGGAUGGAAAAGGUGAAGACCAAGAACCAAUAAUAACUCAUGGAAAAGCAAUGUGUACAGAUAUCCUUUUUAAGGAUGUAAUUCAAGCCAUCAAGGAAACUGCAUUUGUCACAUCAGAGUAUCCUGUAAUUCUCUCCUUUGAAAAUCACUGCAGCAAAUAUCAACAGUACAAGAUGUCCAAAUAUUGCGAAGAUCUAUUUGGGGAUCUCCUGUUGAAACAAGCACUUGAAUCACAUCCACUUGAACCAGGCAGGCCUUUGCCAUCCCCCAAUGACCUCAAAAGAAAAAUACUCAUAAAAAACAAGCGGCUGAAACCUGAAGUUGAAAAAAAACAGCUGGAAGCUUUGAGAAGCAUGAUGGAAGCUGGAGAGUCUGCCUCCCCAGCAAACAUCUUAGAGGACGAUAAUGAAGAGGAGAUCGAAAGUGCUGACCAAGAGGAGGAAGCUCACCCCGAAUUCAAAUUUGGAAAUGAACUUUCUGCUGAUGACUUGGGUCACAAGGAAGCUGUUGCAAAUAGCGUCAAGAAGGGCCUGGUCACUGUAGAAGAUGAGCAGGCGUGGAUGGCAUCUUAUAAAUAUGUAGGUGCUACCACUAAUAUCCAUCCAUAUUUGUCCACAAUGAUCAACUACGCCCAGCCUGUAAAGUUUCAAGGUUUCCAUGUGGCAGAAGAACGCAAUAUUCAUUAUAACAUGUCUUCUUUUAAUGAAUCAGUCGGUCUUGGCUACUUGAAGACACAUGCAAUUGAAUUUGUCAAUUAUAACAAACGGCAAAUGAGUCGCAUUUACCCCAAGGGAGGCCGAGUCGAUUCCAGUAAUUACAUGCCUCAGAUUUUCUGGAACGCUGGCUGCCAGAUGGUUUCACUGAACUAUCAAACCCCAGAUUUAGCGAUGCAAUUGAAUCAGGGAAAAUUUGAGUAUAAUGGAUCGUGCGGGUACCUUCUCAAACCAGAUUUCAUGAGGCGGCCUGAUCGAACAUUUGACCCCUUCUCUGAAACUCCUGUUGAUGGUGUUAUUGCAGCCACUUGCUCAGUGCAGGUUAUAUCAGGUCAAUUCUUAUCAGAUAAGAAAAUUGGCACCUACGUAGAGGUGGAUAUGUAUGGGUUGCCCACUGACACCAUACGUAAGGAAUUCCGAACUCGCAUGGUUAUGAAUAAUGGACUCAAUCCAGUUUACAAUGAAGAGUCAUUUGUAUUUCGGAAGGUGAUCCUGCCGGACCUGGCUGUCUUGAGAAUAGCUGUGUAUGAUGAUAACAACAAGCUGAUUGGCCAGAGGAUCCUCCCGCUUGAUGGCCUCCAAGCAGGAUAUCGACACAUUUCCCUUCGAAAUGAGGGAAAUAAACCAUUAUCACUGCCAACAAUUUUCUGCAAUAUUGUUCUUAAAACAUAUGUGCCUGAUGGAUUUGGAGAUAUUGUGGAUGCUUUAUCAGAUCCAAAGAAAUUUCUCUCAAUUACAGAAAAGAGAGCAGACCAAAUGAGAGCUAUGGGCAUUGAGACUAGUGACAUAGCCGACGUGCCCAGUGACACUUCCAAAAAUGACAAGAAAGGAAAGGCCAACACUGCCAAAGCAAAUGUGACCCCUCAGAGUAGCUCUGAGCUCAGACCAACCACCACGGCUGCCCUGGCCUCUGGUGUGGAAGCCAAGAAAGGCAUUGAACUUAUCCCUCAAGUAAGGAUAGAAGACUUAAAGCAGAUGAAGGCUUACUUGAAGCAUUUAAAGAAACAGCAGAAGGAGCUAAAUUCUUUAAAGAAGAAACAUGCAAAGGAACACAGUACCAUGCAGAAGUUACACUGCACGCAAGUUGACAAAAUUGUGGCACAGUAUGACAAAGAGAAGUUGACUCAUGAGAAAAUCCUAGAGAAGGCAAUGAAGAAGAAGGGGGGAAGUAAUUGUCUCGAAAUGAAAAAAGAAACAGAAAUUAAAAUUCAGACGCUGACAUCAGAUCACAAAUCUAAGGGAAAGCAAGGAAAUGCGAGCACACCAGGCUAAGAUUUCUAUGGAAAAUAGCAAAGCCAUCAGCCAAGAUAAAUCUAUCAAGAAUAAAGCAGAACGGGAAAGGCGAGUCAGGGAGUUAAACAGCAGCAACACCAAAAAGUUUCUGGAAGAAAGAAAGAGACUUGCAGUGAAGCAGUCCAAAGAAAUGGAUCAGUUGAAAAAAGUCCAGCUUGAACAUCUAGAAUUCCUAGAGAAACAGAAUGAGCAGCUUUUGAAAUCCUGUCAUGCAGUGUCCCAAACGCAAGGCGAAGGAGAUGCAGCAGAUGGUGAAAUUGGAAGCCGAGAUGGACCGCAGACCAGCAACAGUAGUAUGAAACUCCAAAAUGCAAACUGAAGCAGCAAACCCACAAAGCAUCAAAAGAUUCACUCACAAACUUCUGAACACAAACUCCACGAAUGAAAGCUGUUUAUUUUGUUUCCUUUAUGUGUAAACAAGAUGAUAUCUGAAACCAGAGAGACUUGGAAUGUCUGACUGACUUCUAUUUAACAGCUUGAGUAUUGCAUUUCCUUGGCCAAACAAAAGUAGCUACAAAUCCACAAAAAUUUACUAUUCCAGUAAGGCAGAGUUCAACCAUUGCUAAUACAACUUAAACAUGUUUGCUAUAAAAUACCAUCACAAGUAAAUGAGCUUGGUGUUAACAACUCUCCUUUGUGAUGCCUUAGGACAUGUUUGAACUGCAGCAAAAAACAAACAAAAACAAAAAACAGUGCAUUGGCAAUUUCAUAGCAAGUGCAUGCACUAGGAAAAGAAAACUCUGUCUACAAAUUUAUUAGCAGAAGUGAUGGUCUGCUAGACAAAUAAUUUUGCAAAAUUUUUCUACAUCUAAGUUACCUCAUCAGUAAGUGCCAUGUCUCUACCAUGCCAUCAGAGGCUAAUUUCCUGUAAAAGUUGUGGAAAUUGUUAGAACAAUAGAAAAAUAGAGCAGUGUAUGUGUGCCAAAACUCAUCAUUACUCAAAGGAGAACUGUGUUAGGCACAUUUAAGAAAGUUUACAUCUGACAUUGCUUUAUAGGAAUGGUUUCUGCAGAUUCCAGAUAUUACAAUUCACACCAUAAAGAUUGUGAAGUGGUUAUUGGCAAAUGUUUGUAAAUGUGACCAUGUAUAAAGUAUUUAUACUCUAAUUCACACUGUUAGAGAGCAAAAUCAUCUAAGUAUUGCCACAUGACAAGAUUAGUAAACAGGAAUACUAGAACUAUGUUUGCAUGAUACACAAACACCAAUAAAGACUAAUCCAUACACAGUUAACCUAAUGCCAAAUAAAUACUGGUUAAAUAAAUGUAUGGCACAGAAUAUAAUUUGACUAUCAAGACUUUUAGCAUAAUGAAGAACUCUCUCUAUAUAUAUAUGUGUAUAUGAAUUAUGUGGGCAUUCUUGAUACUUCAAGUUCUAGUUUGAAAAAAAUACAUAACUAAUUUAAUUUUACACAAAUAUUUAUGCAGAUUUUCAGAAUUUCAUAUCAGGAAAUGACCUUUUUAUGUCUGUUAAAUAUCAAAACAAUUUGCUACAGUGUUAAUCUGCAUGGUCUUUAAGCCUGCUGUAGUUGAGUUGCAGACAGUGCAUGAAAAAGUAUUCCGCUGGGAAUUGAGCCAUGCCACCAAAGCCAAGAGGAGCGCAUGGAAACCCGGUAGUCUAGAACUAAUCAGAUUACUGAUUUUAGGGCACAGCACCAAAUGAAUUGUUGUAUAUGCUUGUAAAAAUUGAUUCUGUGUGUUCCUCUGAACAAAGCGGAGAAAAUGAUGAUACCAUCAAUAUUGAAAUUAAACUUCCAACUUCUCUAAUAAAAAAUUAAAACACGCAUAACACUCGUCAGAGUAUUUGCUCCCAAGACACAUUCUAGCAAGUGUUUUGCCUUUUUUCAUAUAUGUGAUAUCAUCGUUAUUUUCAAAGGGGGCUUAUUAAUACCCUCAGCAUGUUUUUCACCCAAAUGAUGCAAAACAUGCAGAUUCUAGUUGACUUCAGAUGUAAUAGACUUGUUUUUCUCCUAUUUGUGAUUUGAAGUGGAUUCUGUAAAAAUAUCUCUUGUUCUUAGUUUCCUUAUCUGUAAAACAGUGGAGUUAGACUACAUAUCUUUUGACACUAACAUCUCAUGAAAAAUUAUGGUUAGUAAAAUGUCACCACAUUUGGAUUGCCAAUUUUCAAAGAUUCUGAGUGGCUUCUCAUCAUCAAAUCAAAUCAAAUCCAAGAGCUCAAGUAUGCUCACCAUUCUGUAACACUUGACCGAAUUCAUCACUUGCCUCCUCUUGUUUCUGCUUUGGAGAGGUACUACUAGUUUUUCCAUUUUUCUUAUUUCUUCUCUGGCUUUUCAUCCUCCUAGGCUACCAUAAGCAUUUAUAUUUUCCAGUUUUUUGUGGAACCAGUUUUUUUUCUUUAAUCCAGGUUACUUUUAGUAUUUGAGACAUCAUACCAUUCAUCCAUUGUAGCAAGAUUAAAAUGUACACACAACUGAAAUGUGCAACAAAAGCAUGUGUUACCUGCUAUUGUAAGUUCAUAUUGCACUCAAACCUUGCAUUAUCCCUUAUUAUGAAGAAAAAUUAAUAGCCAAUUAAAGUAACUCAGUGUCUUCCA
rnacentral:sRNA from 1 species